AUUGAACGCUGGCGGCAUGCUUUACACAUGCAAGUCGAACGGUAACAGGCCGCAAGGUGCUGACGAGUGGCGAACGGGUGAGUAAUGCAUCGGAACGUGCCCAGUCGUGGGGGAUAACGCAGCGAAAGCUGCGCUAAUACCGCAUACGAUCUAUGGAUGAAAGCGGGGGACCGUAAGGCCUCGCGCGAUUGGAGCGGCCGAUGUCAGAUUAGGUAGUUGGUGAGGUAAAGGCUCACCAAGCCGACGAUCUGUAGCUGGUCUGAGAGGACGACCAGCCACACUGGGACUGAGACACGGCCCAGACUCCUACGGGAGGCAGCAGUGGGGAAUUUUGGACAAUGGGGGCAACCCUGAUCCAGCAAUGCCGCGUGCAGGAAGAAGGCCUUCGGGUUGUAAACUGCUUUUGUACGGAACGAAACGGUCCUGGUUAAUACCCGGGGCUAAUGACGGUACCGUAAGAAUAAGCACCGGCUAACUUCGUGCCAGCAGCCGCCGUAAUAC
rnacentral:rRNA from 1 species